UACGGGGGGAGCAAGCGUUGUUCGGAUUUACUGGGCGUAAAGGGCGCGUAGGCGGCCACCGCAAGUCGACUGUGAAAUCUCCGGGCUUAACUCGGAAAGGUCAGCCGAUACUGCGGGGCUAGAGUGCAGAAGGGGCAACUGGAAUUCCCGGUGUAGCGGUGAAAUGCGCAGAUAUCGGGAGGAACACCAAUUGCGAAGGCAGCUCGCUGGGACGUUACUGACGCUGAGACGCGAAAGCGUGGGGAGCAAACAGG
rnacentral:rRNA from 1 species